GCUGGCGUGGUCUAAUGGUUAUGAUUUCUCGUUAACACCCAAAAAGUGUCAACUUUCACCGAGAAGGUUCCGCGUUCGAUCCGCGGCGCUAGUA